rnacentral:rRNA from 1 species
AUGGACCUGUCGUUGAUGGUGUUUACACAAACAUUUUAUUUUGAUGCUACUUUUGUAAAGAAAAUUCAGGAAGUUCCUUACAAUUGGUCGUCCCCUGCGGUUGUCGCUUGGCUGGGCCUUCUCUCGUGUCUAGCUGCUGUAUACAUCGGCCCGCUCGUGUCUAGCCCACAACGCAGGAUUCUAAAGGAAAAAGCCCCCAACGCGGGCGGCAACCUUGAUCCCCUCCUUCCUCCCAGUCCCCACCGCCGCCACGAACCUGCUCCGACAAGAACUCUGCUCAAGCCCGCUCCCAUGGUUCCCGUCAUCGACAUGGACUCUUUGCCCGUUCCGCCAGCCGAAGGCACCACCUAUAGAAAAAGGACUCGAGUCGCUCGAUCCAAAUCCCGGAUCAGACCGGAUCACGGCGGCGCCACGACAGGUUGCCGGUCUGCAGUCCUCCUCACGGGACAAGCUGCGUUCGCGGUGCGCUCUUGCUGCUUGCCGGCUUCGACGGGGUGGGCCGGGACGCCGCCCUUCCGCAGAUCCGCAAUCGAGUCGUGCGUCCAAUCUGCCGCCUCCCCUCGACGUCCACGGCUCUGUGCUCUUCCGUGUUCUCUCCUAGCGCAGGCUGUGGGGGCGCUACGCCGCUAUCUGCCGGCUCCUCAUACAAGAGCGAUGGACAAACUGAGCCCUGUGGGAAACAAUUGCAUCAGCUCAGAGACGUCCAGCGUUUCUCCUCUCGAUGUUUCUUUGCACGCCUCAUCUCCAAGCAUGAAGCCACGGCGAGAUGUGGAUCAACUGCCAUACAGGAGGGUCCAGCUGCUGCACCUUGAGUCCUGCCACGGUGCCUCUGUUCGAUACGUUGGGAAGCAGGUAGGGAUGAAGGUCGUACAUGACAUAGAAGAUGGCGAGCUACAUCUUGCAUCUACAAACGAGGGCGACUUAGGCUCGUGUUCGACACUGCAGUUCUUGGUUGGUGUGUCAGAUAGCAACCCAGGCAGCGGUGUGAGGCGGGUCUGGUCUUGGUACUAUGUUGAUAGCAAGGGUGCAAGGCUCAAGGGAAGCAGCUGGUUCUGUAGUUCUUUGUAUGCUUAUGGUAUCUUGGAUGAGGGUUACAAAUUCAACAUGUCAGUUGAGGAAGCUGCUGAGUUAGCAUGGCGGGCUUUUAUCACAAACUAUUCUGCGACAGAGCUAGUGGUGGCUGUGUUCCUGGUGGCCGCACGUCCAUGGCGAGGGGAUCUCCACGUGCCGAGCAUCCCGCUCCUCCUCGGCGCCCUACUUGACCCCAUCAACCACCCACUUCAAACCCUAGCCCCACUCACCCGGCUCCUCGCCCUCCCCCUCUCACACGAGCUCUCACAAACCCGGAAAUCACCACGCCACUGUCGUCCAUGCGCCCGUCGUCGUCCCCUCCGACCGUGGUUAUGCCGGGAGCUUCAUCCGCCUCCCCUACAGUGCCUACGUGGGUCGGACCGAGCCGGGGAGCACCACAAUAGCCGGAUCAAGCGUCUCCCUCCGCCCCAGUUGUCGUCAUCCCGCCGCCUCGACCUCGCCUCCGGCCACCCCAGCCUCCCCGAGCACGCUCCCGAGCUCCUCAGUGAGCCCCCGUCCGAUUCCCCUUUCCCCCACCUCGAAUCCACUCUGUUCCGUAGUUGA